AUAACAAAAUGAGAGUCUGUAUGAUAGUGCCUCCUAACAUUCCAGACCAUAUUCCCUUUGCUCCCAUAUCAAAAGUGAAUCCAAGAACGCAACCUAGUGGUAUACCAAUGAAAUAGUAACAUCCCACGUUAACGUAUGCGACAAAAGCUUGCCAUCCGCACCCAACAGCCACCCCUUCAAAACAAUUGCAGCCACAAAAUCAAUGUGAAGGAUAAGAGAGAGAUGUCUAACAACGAGUCUAAGAGCAAAAGGACAAGGACGAAGGUUAGCUAGCCAUCCAGCUGUCGUGUAUUGCUUUGAAAUUCAACAAGGUAUUUAUUAAUCAUAUGUACAAAUUAAUCCUUGUCUCUGUUGAAAUGAAUUUUGCUUCUCAACUAUAUAUCACUAUCUGUGAAUGCUAAAUUCAAUCAUAUGAAUAUGACUUGACGUUCUUUUCUUGUCUACUAGUAUGCCCUCGUAUUGUUUUUCUGUCUCUUAUUUUUCUUUUCUUUUUAUUAAAAUUAAGAUUCCAUUUUAAGUGGUCAUUAACUCAUUUAUUGUUCACUUGGCCAGGUUUGAAAUCGAUAUCUUAGAGUCUUGAAAGUGACUAAAGUACUACUCAAUUACGGCUAUUUGAUAAAGUAGUCAUAGAUCAUACGUUGUUAUUAUUUAGACUCGAUAUAUUUUGAAUAUAAUGCAGGAAAAUAAGUGAAUUUUAUUGUAUAUAUCUUAUUUUUUAUAUUUAUAAUGGAUUAGAUAACAAUUUCCUAAGAAUUAUAUCCUUUGAUUCUAGAAAUUAACAGUUGAAGCAUUACUAAUGGAAUUCACUAUCCAAAUCACAAGGACAACAACUUCCUUAUAAAUAAAGAGAAUUAUUGUUCUUGCUUAGGUAGGAUGGUUUUAAUGUUAUUCUUAUUAUGCAGUAUAAAGUGACUUUUUCAUGAAUAAAAAGAAAAGGAAAAACAUAUCUAGACCUCGUUUAUUAUGGAAUGUGUAAAUCUCACCUAUUUAAUAUAGGAUUUUUCUUAUCCAGAUUCGGUUAACUAUGGAUCUAAGAUACAAGAUGUAUGAUGAGAUUCAUAUGUUUGUGUCUUGGAUCGAUGAUAAACAAGAUCUAGGUAAGAAUUUCUUUUAAUAUAAGGAUCCCAUCGUACAUAAUGCAUCUUGGAUCCACAAUAAAUUAAGAAUGGGCAAGAAUUUCUCAAAAAGAAAACAUCGUACAAUAAUGACCUGAUAAAACAAUAUCAAAUUAGAAAGAAGGCUAUUAUUACCUGAUAAAACAGGUUGGAUUCCAUUUAGUAAGAUAGAAAGUGCAAGGAAAGGAGAGAGUUCUGCCACAGCUUUGGCUACUGUUGUACCACUAGUGAAGAUGUAGCUCAAGUAAUUGCGCAAUAACAGCACAAGAAUAGCGAUGAUCAAAGAUAUGAAUGAGGAGCUUAAAGUCACUAUCACAACAGCAAAAGAUGCUGAUUUGGGAUGUCCAGCUCCUAGCUCAUUGCUUACCCUCACACUGUUUUCACACAUUCAAAUGCUCAGCAUAUGUAUGAAAGACACUUACCAUUAAUGCUAAUUAAUUUAAUUAAAUGUUAAAUGAUUAUUGUCAAGUUCAAAUUCUUAUUAGCAUAAUGGAAUCACCAUAUAAACAAACAAACCUUGCAGCUGCAUUGAAACCCACUGAAAUCAUGAACACCCACCCUGAUAUAGCCAUGCAGAUGGAGAGGGAAUCCAAGGCAAUUUCAGCAUUUUUCAGCAGCCCAGCAACCAAAACAAUUAUUUGGUAGUACCAAGUCUCAAGGCACAACAUCACAGCCGAUGCAGCAGACAACUUCAAGAAAUCCCACAGGCCAGAGAAGGCUUGCCAAGUGAAUCCAGUCCAUGUUCGUUUGCACUUUGGACUAGCCAAAAUGUAUGCAAACUGUGCCACCACUAUAAUCCACCAGGACAAGCUCAAAACCAGUGAGGCACCUAACAAUCCCCAACCAAAUUUAUAAAUAGCAAGCCAACUUAUUAAGAGAUGCACCACCAGCGUUCCCGUUGAUAUGUAUGCGCUAGGGAAAACAAUGCUCUGAGCCUGUAAGAACUUUUGGAUUGGAAAAUUGGCAGCAUAAGCAAAUAUCUGUGGAAUAAGACCA
rnacentral:misc_RNA from 1 species